rnacentral:rRNA from 1 species
AUUGAACGCUGGCGGCAGGCCUAACACAUGCAAGUCGAGCGAGCGGCGGACGGGUGAGUACUGUCUGGGAAACUGCCUGAUGGAGGGGGAUAACUACUGGAAACGGUAGCUAAUACCGCAUACCAUCGGAUGUGCCCAGAUGGGAUUGGCUAGUAGGUGGGGUAACGGCUCACCUAGGCGACGAUCCCUAGCUGGUCUGAGAGGAUGACAAGCCACCCUGGAACUGAGACACGGUCCAGACUCCUACGGGAGGCAGCAGUGGGGAAUAGUGGACAAUGGGCGAAAGCCUGAUCCAGCCAUGCCGCGUGUGUGAAGAAGGCCUUCGGGUUGUAAAGCACUUUCAGCGGGGAGGCGUUACCCGCAGAAGAAGCACCGGCUAACGCCGUGCCAGCAGCCGCGGUAAUUC